rnacentral:rRNA from 1 species
UGGGGAAUAUUGGACAAUGGGGGGAACCCUGAUCCAGCAAUGCCGCGUGUGUGAAGAAGGCCUGAGGGUUGUAAAGCACUUUUAGUGGGGAGGAGGAUUUACUGGUUAAGAGCUGAUAGAUUGGACGUUACCCACAGAAACAGCACCGGCUAACUCCGUGCCAGCAGCCGCGGUAAUACGGAGGGUGCAAGCGUUAAUCGGAAUUACUGGGCGUAAAGGGUGCGUAGGUGGUUUAAUAAGUUAUGUGUGAAAGCCCAGGGCUCAACUUUGGGAUGUCAGAUAAGACUGUUAGACUAGAGUAUGGGAGAGGGUAGUGGAAUUUCCGGUGUAGCGGUGAAAUGCGUAGAGAUCGGAAGGAACACCAGUGGCGAAGGCGGCUACCUGGCCUAAUACUGACACUGAGGCACGAAAGCGUGGGGAGCAAACAG